UACGUAGGGUGCGAGCGUUGUCCGGAUUUAUUGGGCGUAAAGAGCUCGUAGGCGGUUUGUCGCGUCGGCCGUGAAAUCUCCACGCUUAACGUGGAGCGUGCGGUCGAUACGGGCAGACUUGAGUUCGGUAGGGGAGACUGGAAUUCCUGGUGUAGCGGUGAAAUGCGCAGAUAUCAGGAGGAACACCGGUGGCGAAGGCGGGUCUCUGGGCCGAUACUGACGCUGAGGAGCGAAAGCGUGGGGGAGCAAAAAAGG
rnacentral:rRNA from 1 species